rnacentral:rRNA from 1 species
GUUAACGCUGGCAGCGUGCAUAACACAUGCAAGUCGAACGAGACUAUCUGAGAUUAUAUCAAAGGUAGUUUAGUGGCAGACGAGUGAGUAACACGUAAGGAAUCUACCCCUAAGAAGGGAAUAACGCGCCGAAAGGCGCGCUAAUACCCUAUAUAAUCCCUUGACGGCAUCUUCGAGGGAUGAAAGACGUAAGUCACUCAGGGAUGACCUUGCGACCUAUCAGCUUGUUGGCGGGGUAAUGGCCCACCAAGGCGAUGACGGGUACCCGGCCUGAAAGGGCGAACGGGCACGGAGGCACUGAGACACGGGCCUCACUCCUACGGGAGGCAGCAGUGGGGAAUUUUGGACAAUGGGCGAAAGCCUGAUCCAGCAACGCUGCGUGAGGGAUGAAGGUCUUCGGAUCGUAAACCUCUUUUUUGGGGGACGAAUACCCGCAAGGGCUUGACGGUACUCCAAGAAUAAGCCACGGCUAAAUAUG